GCCUUCAGUAUUUUGUCACCUCCUUGAAGGCUGAGGUUGAGAGCUGCACUCCCAUCUCACAGACAGAUAUCUGCUUUGUGCUGGAGAAGACAGUUUCAUACAAUGGCUGGUCUUGGCGUAGGCACAGUGAACUCUAGAUGCUGAAGACAGAUGGACCACCAGAUGGACCCUGGGAAGGAUUGGUUAAAAUGUCAGUGAUAAGCUAACAGAAUGAAAUGCAGUAGACUGAGGAGACUAUUCUGCUGAAAACCAUCUACUGAAAUGGGGUUUGUAUUAUUCACAUUCAUUAAAGCACACUUCAACUGUGCUGUUUUGACAUUUUCUGUUUCGAGACUUUCAAGUCAAGCAGCUCUGUGUUUGCUGUUUUGCUGAGGUUUUUUUCUUUUCCAAAUGGUUGUUUGAUGAUAGAUUUUCAAAAGUGACCCUAGCUCUUUAAGGCGAUUGCUUUGCCAUUGAGGAAUCUUGCCAUUGUUAUAUUCAGCCAUCAAACUUACAAGUACACCAAUUCAGACUCUGAAGAGCAAACUGAUGUAAGGAUGAAGAUUAUAUAAGGGACAGAAGUGAGUUAUUGCUUGCUUCUGGUAAACUCGCAUAACUUGCUUUCCAAUUCUUACCGUUCAUUUACCUGCAAUACUAAUUCCAACAACUUCUUUGGAUUAAGCCUUGAGAAUUUCAUUACAAACAUGGAAAGAAAUGCAUACACAUGGCAGUGUAUCAGCAGUAGGGAACAAGCUAAGACGGGUCAGGAAAGACUCCAGGCAGAAGCUUUGUUGCAAAACAGAAACACAAAAUAGAGAUUUGCCUGAUUUCAUGUGGUUCAUCAUUCAGCUGCUUGAUUUCUCCACUCUUCAUUUGCUUCACAAGAAAAAAAGCUGUUUCCUUCAAACUUGCAAUAUUAGUUAUGAUUCUGCACCAGUGCCACAUGGCUAGUCUACCCAUAACUUCAUAAGGGAUAUUCUGCAGUUUCAAGUACAAAUCAAUUGUCACAAGAUCAACAUCAAAAUAUCUUCUUUACUGAGUCACACUAUAAAUUCUAUCAUGAAUAUUGCCAUUCAAUGAUUCAUAAAUAAAAACAAACGUUAGCAUUGAGAGGUAUUCCUCUCUUACUUGAAACAAUUCCCA
ensembl:lncRNA